rnacentral:sRNA from 1 species
GCUGGAGGUGAAAGUCUGGCCUGGCAGCCUUCCCCAGGUGAGCAGCAACAAGGUGAGAGAAUGCAGAGCUGCAGGCCACGUGCUGCUGGGUCUCAGUCCUCCACUUCCCGUGUCCUCUGGAAGUUGUCAGGAGCAAUGUUCCGCUUGUACGUGUUGGUAAUGGGAGUUUCUGCCUUCACCCUUCAGCCUGCGGCACACACAGGGGCUGCCAGAAGCUGCCGGUUUCGUGGGAGGCAUUACAAGCGGGAGUUCAGGCUGGAAGGGGAGCCUGUAGCCCUGAGGUGCCCCCAGGUGCCCUACUGGUUGUGGGCCUCUGUCAGCCCCCGCAUCAACCUGACAUGGCAUAAAAAUGACUCUGCUAGGACGGUCCCAGGAGAAGAAGAGACACGGAUGUGGGCCCAGGACGGUGCUCUGUGGCUUCUGCCAGCCUUGCAGGAGGACUCUGGCACCUACGUCUGCACUACUAGGUAAGUCUUCCUGUGUGGGGCUGGGAGGGGAUCCUGGCAGGAUGGAGGCUUGCGAGGGUCUUCAGUCAUGAUCCGGAUCUCAGAAUCCAGUGUACAAAAUACAAAUCCAGUGAAUCCACAUUGCAUCCCGUUUGCUGUUCC